GGUGGAACCAUAAGGGAGAUGCAGUGUGUGCUGGCCAGGCAGGGCUUGAGAUUAGGCCUUCAUGAGCAGGAAUUUCAGGGAGACUUCAUGUGAUUGCAUGCAGAAACAGGGUGUGCAGGCAGAGGAGGCAGCAGCUCUCCAUUAGGGUAUUCAUUUAUUAAAAUAUUCCUGCUGUCAUUUAGUACCUAUUAGGUCCCAGGCAUACAGCACUGCAAAGCAGAAAACAUUCUCUGUCUUCAUGGAACUUAUGUUCUAGCAAUGGCAACCAGACAAUAAAGAAGAUAAAAUGUGUGUAGGAUUAAUUAAUUUUAGAUCAAAGAUGCCCAGAGAAGAUCUCACCGAGAAAGGAGACAUUUGAGCAAAGAAAAAAACAAGACCACUGACAACUGCUGAGAAUGAACAGGAGGGAGCGCAGGCCGGGAGACUGGUGGAGGCGACUGCAAUCAUCUGGGGCAUCUUGGCGGCCCCUGCAGAGCUGGGGAGGGAGCCCCAAGGCCAGAGGCGGGGCAGGGGCUGCAUCAAGGUCUACGGAGCCCUCCUCUCCCACCCCUCCAGGGAAAGAUAUGAUCUCCUUUUACUAUUCAGCACCAACACCAGCGGACCAACAGCCCAAGAUUAAAGGCAAUUAGACAGGGCUUCUAAUCGCUUGGAAAUGUCAUCAAAGACAACAGCACAAAAGAGGGCAGGGGCCUUGGUGAUUCCUUCAAACUGGAGACCCUGGGCCUCUGCUUCCUUCCUUGUCACCUUGUCCUAACAGCACACAGGAGAAUAAAUGCUGGAACAGCC